AAAGCGCUUCCCUUCAGAGGA
rnacentral:miRNA from 1 species